rnacentral:rRNA from 1 species
AGCGAACGCUGGCGGCAGGCUUAACACAUGCAAGUCGAGCGGGCACCUUUCGGGGUGUCAGCGGCGGACGGGUGAGUAACGCGUGGGAACGUGCCCUCUGGUUCGGAAUAACUCAGGGAAACUUGAGCUAAUACCGGAUACGCCCUUUUGGGGAAAGGCUUGCUGCCGGAGGAUCGGCCCGCGUCUGAUUAGCUAGUUGGUGAGGUAACGGCUCACCAAGGCGACGAUCAGUAGCUGGUCUGAGAGGAUGAUCAGCCACACUGGGACUGAGACACGGCCCAGACUCCUACGGGAGGCAGCAGUGGGGAAUAUUGGACAAUGGGCACAAGCCUGAUCCAGCCAUGCCGCGUGAGUGAUGAAGGCCUUAGGGUUGUAAAGCUCUUUUAUCCGGGACGAUAAUGACGGUACCGGAGGAAUAAGCCCCGGCUAACUUCGUG